AGUGAACGCUGGCGGUAGGCCUAACACAUGCAAGUCGAACGGCAGCACAGUAAGAGCUUGCUCUUACGGGUGGCGAGUGGCGGACGGGUGAGGAAUACAUCGGAAUCUACUUUUUCGUGGGGGAUAACGUAGGGAAACUUGCGCUAAUACCGCAUACGACCUACGGGUGAAAGCAGGGGAUCUUCGGACCUUGCGCGAUUGAAUGAGCCGAUGUCGGAUUAGCUAGUUGGCGGGGUAAAGGCCCACCAAGGCGACGAUCCGUGGCUGGUCUGAGAGGAUGAUCAGCCACACUGGAACUGAGACACGGUCCAGACUCCUACGGGAGGCAGCAGUGGGGAAUAUUGGACAAUGGGCGCAAGCCUGAUCCAGCCAUACCGCGUGGGUGAAGAAGGCCUUCGGGUUGUAAAGCCCUUUUGUUGGGAAAGAAAAGCAGCAGGUUAAUACCCCGCUGUUCUGACGGUACCCAAAGAAUAAGCACCGGCUAACUUCGUG
rnacentral:rRNA from 1 species